rnacentral:rRNA from 1 species
CAGUAGCCGCGGUAAUACGGGGGGGGCAAGUGUUAUUCGGAAUGACUGGGCGUAAAGGGCACGUAGGCGGUGAAAAGGGUGGAAAGUGAAAGUCGCCAAAACACUGGCGGGGUGCUUUCUUGACCAUUUCACUUGAGUGAGAUAGGGGAGAGUGGAAUUUCGUGUGGAGGGAUCAAAUCCUAAGAUAUACGAAGGAACGCCAACCGCGAAGGCAGCUCUCUGGGUCCCCACUGACGCUGGGGUGCGAAAGCAUGGGGAGCAAACAGGAUCAGAUACCCCCGUAGUCCCUGUCUCUUAUACA